CAGUAGCCGCGGUAAUACGAAGGGUGCAAGCGUUAAUCGGAAUUACUGGGCGUAAAGGGUGCGUAGGCGGUUGUUUAAGUCUGUUGUGAAAUCCCAGGGCUUAACCUUGGAACUGCAUUUUUAACUACCGGACUAGAGUGUGUCAGAGGGAGGUGGAAUUCCGCGUGUAGCAGUGAAAUGCGUAGAGAUGCGGAGGAACACCGGUGGUGAAGGCGGCCCCCUGGACAAAGACUGACGCUCAGGUGCGAAAGCGUGGGGAGCAAACAGGAUUAGAUACCCCAGUAGUCCCUGUCUCUUAUAC
rnacentral:rRNA from 1 species